GGAGUUAGCCGGUGCUUCUUCUGCGAGUAACGUCACAGAUGUAAGGUAUUAACUUACACCCUUUCCUCCUCGCUGAAAGUGCUUUACAACCCGAAGGCCUUCUUCACACACGCGGCAUGGCUGCAUCAGGGUUUCCCCCAUUGUGCAAUAUUCCCCACUGCUGCCUCCCGUAGGAGUCUGGGCCGUGUCUCAGUCCCAGUGUGGCUGAUCAUCCUCUCAGACCAGCUAGGGAUCGUCGCCUAGGUGAGCCUUUACCUCACCUACUAGCUAAUCCCACCUGGGCUUAUCCAUCAGCGCAAGGCCCGAAGGUCCCCUGCUUUCCCCCGUAGGGCGUAUGCGGUAUUAGCAGUCGUUUCCAACUGUUAUCCCCCACAAAUGGGCAAAUUCCCAGGCAUUACUCACCCGUCCGCCGCUCGUCAUCUUCAAAAGCAAGCUUUUGAAAUGUUACCGCUCGACUUGCAUGUGUUAGGCCUGCCGCCAGCGUCAUCUGAGCAUAAUACAACUACUGA
rnacentral:rRNA from 1 species